rnacentral:rRNA from 1 species
UGGGGGAUAUUGCACAAUGGGCGAAAGCCUGAUGCAGCGACGCCGCGUGGGGGAUGAAGGCUUUCGGGUUGUAAACCUCUUUCGCUAUCGAACAAGGCCCGCUUAGGGUGGGUUGAGGGUAGGUGGAGAAGAAGCGCCGGCUAACUACGUGCCAGCAGCCGCGGUAAUACGUAGGGCGCGCGCGUUGUCCGGAAUUAUUGGGCGUAAAGGGCUUGUAGGCGGCUUGUUGCGCCUGCUGUGAAAACGCGGGGCUUAACUUCGGGCGUGCAGUGGGUACGGGCAGGCUUGAGUGUGGUAGGGGUGACUGGAAUUCCAGGUGUAGCGGUGGAAUGCGCAGAUAUCUGGAGGAACACCGAUGGCGAAGGCAGGUCACUGGGCCAUUCCUGACGCUGAGGAGCGAAAGCAUGGGUAGCGAACAGG